UCCUGCUCACGUACGACAACCAUCCUCCCCCUCGCACGAUCCCUCGCGUGAAAAAAAAUCGCCAAAGAAAACCAACGUUCCAAGCCAAAGAAAAGCUAGGGAAAAAAGUCCCCACGUUCUCCACCUUCUCCAUCCCUCCCCCACAUGCCGAUCUUUCCCAGGCCUUUCUCUCCCAAAUCCCGAACCAUCCCGUCUCCGUCCACCCAGAUCUGCUCUCUCGACGUCGCACCUCAAGGGUCUCCUCUCUCUCUCUCUCUCUCUCUCUCUCCGGCAACCGCGGGGGGACGCGCCGGCGCAGCCGUCCAAGCAUGCCCGCCUGGACACCUCGUUGGGAUUCGUCUGUGGGCUCGACCUAGGGCGCCACUACUCUCACAGCCAUGGGGCACGCGUCUUCUCCAACCUGCAUGCUCUCGCAGGGAGCCUGGCUGUGGACAUGUCAUCGUGAUGACGCUGGGGUCGUACAUCAUGGUCGCCGCCCCUGUCACAUCCAUGGCGACGACGGGGGUGCCGGUCGAGCUACCGAUUCCACCCGACGGACGAGGAGCUAGAGGUCGACCCGUACCUGCCGCCACUCUCCCACGUCUGCAAUCGUGAUGGCCAAUGGCGCUUGGUCCGCACGGCACGACACGCGUGUCCGGGAAGACCAACACGUGCAACGACCACAUCCUCGACAACGCCCCUGGGUGCUACCUGAACAAGCUUCUCACAUGGAUCUAUCUCUUUUCCUUUUUGCUUUGAGGUUGUGCUUGUCCGUGAAAAUAUAUGGUUGAUUGAUGAACUUUGUCUUCGUGUCUGUUUCAGAUCCUUAACGUCUUAAAAGACACGUCAGUCGGUCUGGAUGUGCAUCUCUCUAAUCUCUGAGCUAGCUAACUCCAUGCCGACGACCAACUAUGUGCGGAUGCCACAUCCAGGACAGGUGCGCUCCUGGAAGCAGCUCGACGUUGCCCUAGGCUUUACAUUCUGGUAAUGUGAAUAUCCAUCUGCCUCCUCUGCUCAGAGUCAUUGAUCUGAAACCCUGAAGUUUAUAGUAAGUUCACCCUCUACUGUUGUCGCAAGCAUCAUACAAUUAAAAUAGGUAAAUAGUACAACAAGUGGUUCGGUUCAUAGUGGGAUCCGGUAUGUCAUGCUCCUUCUACGAACAACAAAGACAAUGCAGCGACAAUUAAUCAGAGCUGCUGGUGAAUAAUAUGACUACAGAGAGUUGAGAUGUCACUAAUGGCUUCACCUAUGAGCUAUGAGUUGUCAAGGCUAUAUUAUUUAUCAUUUAUUUCAUGUAAUAUUGAUCAUGAUUAUAGCAACAGAGAAUACUUCCAUGUAGUUGUCUGAAUAUGGCAUGAAAGCCAAGUGUAAGGGCAAAAUUUAAGAUUCCCUUGUAUCAUUAGAAAAAUCAUUGUCUCACUUUUUUGGACUGUAUUUUGUUUUUCAUUCUUUGAACUUUUUUUAAAUUUGGCUAGAUGCAUACCUGAAGUAGAUUGUAUUAGGCUGCAUGUGCAUUCCACAUGUUUGAUACUGAUGAAAUCAGAGAUCCGAUGAUUAGAUAA